AAUCUGCAGAUCAAGACCAAUAAACGCGGAAACAAAUACUAUUACUAUUUUUAUUGAACAUUGAACAUCAUUUCGUGAAAUUUCAGGGACAGUGGGUUUUUUUAAUGUUGUUUUACGUAUUCGUCCAUUCUUUCAUUCCCGCUUUUCGAUAGGAUUUUUCGGAUUAUUGACAUUUGCCUCGUGCAAUACAACUUUGUUGGAUUGGCAACACUGACUCAGACACACAGUGAGUUUUUUCUACCAAAAAAACAAAACGAUAUAAAAUAAUUAUGUUUUGAAUGUUCAGAUAUGGUUUUUUGUUAACAAAAAAAAAAGAUACGUGAACUCUGAGUGCAUUGUAAUAACUAAUCAUCUAUUGGAGCUUUGCCACUAAAAAUGAGAUUUUCAGAAAAUACCUGAAAUGGAUACAAAGCCCCUUCCACCCUCAAAAGUGGAUACAGUUACUAAUCUGGGUGAUAACGAUGAACCUUAUCCAAGUUUGUCAGACUGCCAUGACUAUGAACCUAAUCUCGAGUUUGACGACUCUGAACUUCUUCAAAGUCCGGAAGACAUCGAGCAAACAGGUAAUAAAUUAUUUCAAUAUUCAGCAUAGUGAUUACUUGAUUAAGUAGUUUAGUGAUCCAGUAUUUUUUCUGAAGAAAGGUUGGUUGGGUACCAGGAUCAAUUUUCC